GUUGCUCUUGAUAUUGGCUGGAAGUAAGGUAGUGUUGUAAACAAUCCCCAAUUCCCAGCUCAUCCAUAUUUCUAUUUAUAAUAGAUAGAUAAAUCAACGUGAGAGAACAAAAAAUAAAUUUUAUUUUUUCAGUUUAAAAAUACGAUUUCAAAUCGGGAACGCUAGGAUAGACCGAUACGUUCGGAGCUCUUAUUCGCUAGAGAAAUUCUCGCGUCACAGAGGUGGGAGAGGCGGCUCAAAGAUUUGUUCUAAGCGGCGCGUUGUAAUUCUCAUUGUCGGUUCAUACUUUUGUGAAGUGUGUACCCUUUGAGUCGAAGGUUCUAAAUCUCAGGAUCCUAAGGGAAUAUUGACCUGAAGAAGUUUUUGUAGUUACGCUCAUGUCUCAACAACAGAAAAUUCGAUCUGGUAGAGACGCGUGCUAAAUGAGUCAUCUAUCGAUUAGAGGUAGCGAACAGCGCCCCUUUAGCAGACAUUGAGUAGAGUUAGAGCUAGCUUGUGGAUAGGAUACUCAGAGUGUCAGUGGUGCGGACACCCGGCAACAAAUAUACAAUAGUUCACCGGAGACAGUGCUAAAAUCAGUGGAAAACUGGAAGGGCUAUACAGUAGGUCUGAAAAGUGACCAGAAGGGCGUCACCUAACACACAUGCCAAAAGGUCUUGUCAAGUAUUUACCCGUAGUGUUAAAUUUUUUUAUUUAGCUAGAUAUUAUAAUCAAAGAUGGGUGGUUGUGCAUCUAAGGAAAAUAAAAAGGAAAUACAGGACGACUCUGG
rnacentral:lncRNA from 1 species